GACGAACGCUGGCGGCGUGCUUAACACAUGCAAGUCGAACGGUAAGGCCCUUUCGGGGGUACACGAGUGGCGAACGGGUGAGUAACACGUGGGUGAUCUGCCCUGCACUUUGGGAUACGCUUGGGAAACUGGGUCUAAUACCGAAUAGGACUAAGCUCUGCAUGGGGAUUGGGGGAAAGCUUUUGCGGGGUGGGAUGGGCUCGGGGGCUAUCAGCUGGUGGGUGGGGUGAUGGCCUACCAAGGCGGCGACGGGUAGCCGGCCUGAGGGGGUGUCCGGCCACACUGGGACUGAGAUACGGCCCAGACUCCUACGGGAGGCAGCAGUGGGGAAUAUUGCACAAUGGGCGCAAGCCUGAUGCAGCGACGCCGGGUGGGGGAUGACGGCCUUCGGGUUGUAAACCUCUUUCAGCACAGACGAAGCGCAAGUGACGGUAUGUGCAGAAGAAGGACCGGCCAACUACGUGCCAGCCGCCGCCGUAA
rnacentral:rRNA from 1 species